rnacentral:lncRNA from 1 species
CAAUGGAGAAAGAGAAACUUAACUCUUAUUGGGCGUAUUACAGUGGUUAAAACAUUGGCAUUACCAAAGCUUAUCCAUCUGUUUUCAUCAUUGCCAAAUCCAGACUCCAGAUUUAUUCAAAAACUUGAUACCUUGUUUUAUAGUUUUGUUUGGCAAAAACCAGUUGGUAAAGUUAAGAGAGAAACAUUAGUGAAAGAUUAUUUUGAAGGGGGGCUAAAAAUGAUUUGUUUGGAACCUUUCAUAAAAUCAC